rnacentral:rRNA from 1 species
UGGGGAAUAUUGGACAAUGGGCGAAAGCCUGAUCCAGCCAUGCCGCGUGAAUGAUGAAGGCCUUAGGGUUGUAAAGUUCUUUUGUCAGGGAAGAUGAUGACGGUACCUGAAGAAUAAGCACCGGCUAACUUCGUGCCAGCAGUCGCGGUAAUACGAAGGGUGCUAGCGUUGUUCGGAAUCACUGGGCGUAAAGCGCGCGUAGGCGGCUUAGCAAGUCAGAGGUGAAAUCCCACAGCUCAACUGUGGAACUGCCUUUGAAACUGCUAAGCUAGAGUGUCGGAGGGGAUGGCGGAAUUCCUAAUGUAGAGGUGAAAUUCGUAGAUAUUAGGAGGAACACCGGUGGCGAAGGCGGCCAUCUGGACGACAACUGACGCUGAGGCGCGAAAGCGUGGGGAUCAAACAGG